rnacentral:rRNA from 1 species
UACGAAGGGUGCAAGCGUUAAUCGGAAUUACUGGGCGUAAAGCGUGCGUAGGCGGUUUCUUAAGUCUGCUGUGAAAGCCCCGGGCUCAACCUGGGAAUGGCGGUGGAUACUGAGAAGCUGGAGUACGGUAGAGGAAGGUGGAAUUCCCGGUGUAGCGGUGAAAUGCGUAGAGAUCGGGAGGAACAUCGGUGGCGAAGGCGGGUCUCUGGGCCGAUACUGACGCUGAGGAGCGAAAGCGUGGGGAGCGAACAGG